GCAAUUUCAGUUAAUUGUAUGCCAUUAGCAUUUAAUUGAGCAGCGUGGCUGGAGAAAACUGCGUGGCUGGAGGAGCAAUUGAAAAAUGGAUAAGAUAAUAAAACAAAAAAGUGAUCAAAUAAUGAAGCUGCAGGCCCAGUUAUUGGAACAACACAAAAUAUUAGAUAACAACGAAGCUAAGGAUGCUCAAAUUUUUGAGUCUACAAGCUCAGCUAGGGGAAAAGAACAAAUUGGAACAAAACAGUUUCCAAACAGUGAAGGAGGUUUUUCAAAACUCAUCCCUAACUGAACGUGAGGAUGAGUUGGCAUUAGGUGAACACAGUCAGUUAUUCAGUCCACCACCUGACAGUGUGUUAAAUUUAAAUUCUGUUAGUGCUGCACUAAAAGAAUUGUUAGUAAUAAGUCCAUGCAGCGAAGGAACUGAAGAAAUGUGGUACUGUAUUUGGGCGGAAAAUGGGUGUGGUAUGGAAACACAGAAAUGGCAUGAGUUCAACCUAAAACA